rnacentral:lncRNA from 1 species
GGAUUACAGGCAUGAGCCACCGCGCCUGCCGUAAUUCAUAUAUUUUGAUUACAAGGUUACAGUAAUUGUCAAAGUUGCAGUUUAGUUUCUGUUUCUAAUUCUCCCUAUUUUUAAAGUUGGUUUGGAGAAGGAAGAAUAGAGAUCUCAGUACUUGCUAUCAUUAACCACAAAUAUCUUUUUAAAUUUUGAAUAAACUAUUCCACAAUAAUAUCAAAACCAUAAAGCAUACUUAUUAUAGAAUUUUUUUACAACAAAUGCAUUACUUUUGUAAUAAUUUUAUAAAAAUCUAACUUUCUUCUCUUUUUUUUUUUUUUAAGAGACAGUCUUGCUCUCUUGUCAAGGCUAGAGUGUACAGUGGCACAAUCAUAGCAGCCUCAAGCUCCUGGGCUCAAUUGAUCCUUUUACCUUAGCCUCCCAAGUAGCUGGGACUACAGGCAUUAAUCACUGUGCCCAACUAAUUUUUUAAUUUAUUGUAGAGAUGGAGUCUCACUACAUUGCCCAGGCUGGUCUUGAACUCCUAGCCUCAAGUGAUCCUCCUGCUUCACCUCCCAAAGUGCUGGGAUUACAGGCGUGAGCCACCACAACCAGCCUGAAUUUCUUCUAAUUGAGUAUUAUUGUAGUAUCAAAAUCACUGUUCUGUAAACUGGAAACAGAUCAAUAUCUGGUCUUCUCUACAUUAAUAAACUUCUCCUUUUUAAAUAAAGAAGAAGUUAUGACAAACGCACUGAGGCAGUUCUCAGAAAAAAUCCUACAUAUUUUUCACUCUUUACCCCUAGCCUUCCACAGCUGGCGUUUUUUACCCUGAUUUUACUAAAGGUGAAGUUCACAUCACUUUCACUCUUUGGCAUUGAGUGCAAGAUAUAAAUAAGAAUGGAAAUAUACAAUAUAUAAAGCCCACAUAAUCUUAAUCAAAUGUCUUUUAGACCCUGAUAUAUAAAUACUAUCGCAUUUUCUUUCUUCCUUUCUUUCCUUUCCCUCUUUUUUCUGAGACAGGGUCUUGCUCUGUGGCCAGGCUGGAGUGCAGUGGUAUGAUUACGACUUACUGAAGCCUUGACCUCCCCAGCUCAAGUGAUCCUUCCACCUCAACCUCCCAAGGAGCUGGGGCCACAAGCACAUGCCACCACGCCCAGCUAAUUUUUCAUAUUUUUAGUAGAUAUGGGGUUUCACCGUGUUGCCCAGGCUGGUCUCGAACCUCUAGGCUCAAGCCAUCCACCAGCAUCAGCCUCCCAAAGUGCUGGGAUUACAGGCCUAAGCCACCAUGCUCAGCCUAUCACAUUUCCUAAUCCAUGCAAACAAAAGGCUAAAACUAAGCACUAUCUUUUUUUGUUUUUGUUUUUGUUUUUAGAAAAGGGGGGUGUCUCACUAUGUUGCCCAGCUGGUCUCAAACUCCUAGUCUCAGUGAGCCUCCUGCCUCAGCCUACCAAACUGCUGGGAUUACAGGCGUGAACCACCAUGCCCAGCCAAACUCUACUUUUUAAUACAUGAUGAAUAUCACUUUAAAAAGAAAAAAAAACCUUAGCCAAACUAAAUUUAUUAACAGUUCUAGCAAAUACCAUCUUCAGCUGUGGAGACAACUUGCUUAGCAUAUAAACAGACCUAUGCUCCCUUAAAGGAGAGAAUGCAGGUAAUUAAAGCACUUUAGAGCAGCAGCAGAAUAUACACUGUUAUUACCAAAAAAUGGAAAUAACCAUUACUGAGAACAGAAAAUACUCAAGUCUCACUUGCUGUAGAAAAAAUAUUUCAACAGCAAACAUAACCAUAUACUAGAAUUCAAGAGUAGGAAAUAGCCGGGCACGGAGGGUCACGCCUGUAAUCCCAGCACUUUGGGAGGCCAAGACAGGCGGAUCACCUGAGGUCAGGAGUUCAAGACCAACCUGGCCAACAUGUUGAAACCCCGUCUCUACAAACACACAAAAAUUAGCCGGGCAUGAU